GCAGGACACAUUGAACAUCGACAUCUUGAACGCAUAUUGCGGCCUAGGGUCACUCCCUUGGCCACGCCUGUCUCAGGGUCGGUGAAACAAACUUCGCAAGCAAAUUGCUCUGUACUCGGCUUGCGCAUUGGGCUGUCGAAGUCCUUCGGGACUCCGUCGCCUUAAGUUCAGACCCGAUUGCUUCGGCACGUCGCGUCUUGCGGUCUCGACCACACAUGACGUAGCUCGCUGUAUCUGAUUGUCACACAAGCACUACGCCGGUCGUCCGACUGCGAGUCGUGUCGCCGAGAGCGGUCGAAAGAAAGUUGCUACUUGUCUUAAUCGAAAAACUUUCACCUCCGACCUGAGAUCAGACGAGACAACCCCCUGAAUUUAAGCAUAUCACUAAGGGGAGGAAAAGAAACUAACUAGGAUUCCCUCAGUAACGGCGAGUGAAGCGGGAAAAGCCCAGCACCGAAUCCCUCGGCCUUGCGCCGCUGGGACCUGUGGUGUUUAGGACGCCUCACUGCGGUGGGGUACGGGUGCCCAAGUCCUUCUGAUCGGGGCCUCUCCCAUAGCGGGUGUCAGGCCUUUACGGGCACUCGUCCCUUCUGCUAAGAACGUCCUUGG
rnacentral:rRNA from 1 species